rnacentral:misc_RNA from 1 species
AAGGAGCACCACGAAAAGCACUUCAAUUGGUGAAGUGCGAGCCGUGAGGGGUUCUCGUCUGUAGUGGACGAAAGCCGGGUGCACAACAGCAAAUGAUUGCCAGACACACUAUUGGGCCCUGAGACAACACUCGGUCGAACCGUGUGGAGUCCCUCCAUCUUGGUGGUGGGGUGUGGUGUUUGAGUAUUGGAUAGUGGUUGCGAGCAUCUAGAUGAACGCGUGGUCUUCAUGGCCGGCGUGUUCAUCGAAAUGUGUAAUUUCUUCUUUGGUUUUUGUGUGU